rnacentral:lncRNA from 1 species
UACAUUCUUGUAUCUUUUAGGUCUUCCUGGAGUAUCAGGGGAAAAUCAGUCACCAUUUGCACUCAAUAAACUCGGAGAUGAUACUACAGGAAUCGAUGUAACCCAUGUAUAUAUGUAUGCACAUAUUGGAAAAAGCAGCAAGUAAAACUAAGGCCUCACUGGAAUUUAAUUUAAGCAUCCAACGGCUCCAGCAUUUCUUGUGCGUACAAAGCUCCAUUGCUCAGAAGGGAAAGUUGGUGUUUCCAGAGGUGGCAGAGAGUGCCAUCGGCACUGGUUAUACAUGCUUGAAACUAUGCCCAUACUUGUUUUUUCUGCUCAAGUAUUAAGAAGGUAGGUAUAUUUUUAGUAUUAUAUUAAUGUGAAAGAAACAAUGUAAGUUAGGG